rnacentral:lncRNA from 1 species
GCAAAGAUUUCAACAGCUAACUUUCUCACUUGAAUCCUUCUCUAUUCAUGCUAAAUUCCAGUUUAGGAAGGAAAAAAUAUUUAUCACAUUCCUGCAUGGCCAUUCUACACCAGAUUGAGUGGGUGAUAGGCAGGAAAACUGGAAAGGAAAUGCCUGUAAUAUUUAGUUAAUGUGGUCAUCAUAUUUGAUCUGGCUGCUUCUCUCCCAAUGCAAAUACAAAUGUCCCAUUUUAUUUGCAUGUGAGUCUUUUCAUCCACAGAGGGAGGUGUGGAAGAGCCAGCUCAAGUCCCAAAGUGAUCUUGGAGCAGAGUGAGGCAUUAGUUGGGACUUAGAGCUGUUGUGCUGGGCCCCAGGUGGCUAGGGGUGUGGUUUCUAGGAAGCUGCUGAGGGGACAAGGCCACAUGCAAAUACUAUCUCAACUGAGAGCAGCUUGGAAAACACCACAAUUCAGUUUUGCAGAAAACCAUUUCACCGGUACCUCUCACAGAGAAGGCCAUGGGAGUGGAGAGAGCACUGGGCUUGGAAUAGAAUUCAACUUUGAGUUCUACCACUUGACCUUGGAUAUUCAGCUUGGAACAGCUGGCACACAGCCCUUGUAUUGCCAUGCAGAUGCACACCCAGAGCCAAUUAAACACAAAGAUGACCAGAUGUGGGGGGAACGAUUGGCUGCCGCAUCAGGUAAUCCCUUCACAUGUAUGCCCUGAUCAAUACUCUACCAAAUACUCAAAGGACACCUUCAGGAGAUCUCUGGAGCAGUGUCUCUUUUCAGCUCUCCAGUACUCUGUCCUGUGAAAUUUAGCCUCCUUGGCCUUCCUGUAUUCCCAGCUCUGCUUCCUCAGCACAGAGAAAACACCAAGCUCUUGCCUGGACUUUCCCUCCUUGAAAUCUCUCUCUAGGCAAUAAACUGGAGCAAUUGUAGCACUCACCUCAUUUGUUUCUCGUCUCUAUCUUUCACUACCUGAAGUCCAGCAUCUUGCAAAAUAUUGACUUUUUAUAUAUUAUCUGUUGAUUAUUUCAAGAAGAAAGGUAAAUUCAAUUCCUGUUACUUCAUCUUGACCAGAAGCAGAAGGCUACACUCCUUUAAAAACUUCCUAGUCCUCGGGGCUGGCCCCGUGGCCGAGUGGUUAAGUUCGCGCAAUCUGCAGCAGGCGGCCCAGUGUUUCGUUAGUUCGAAUCCUGGGCGCGGACAUGGCACUGCUCAUCAGACCACGCUGAGGCAGCGUCCCACAUGCCACAACUAGAAGAAUCCCCAACGAAGAAUACACAACUAUGUACCGGGGGCUUUGGGG